rnacentral:rRNA from 1 species
UCUUGGUCAUUUAGAGGAAGUAAAAGUCGUAACAAGGUUUCCGUAGGUGAACCUGCGGAAGGAUCAUUAACGUGUUCUUCAGGCCGUCGGGUCGGCCCCGCACCGGCGGAGACGCCGUGCUGCGGGCUCCCGACGCGCCUUCCACACCAAACCCCUGUGAACCUUUGGGAGGGCUCGAGAGGGCCGUCCCCUUUACAAACUCUUCGUGUCUUUAGAAUGAACGCGGACUCUGUGCCGCCUAAACAUGUAACAACUUUCAACAACGGAUCUCUUGGCUCUCGCAUCGAUGAAGAACGCAGCGAAAUGCGAUAAGUAAUGUGAAUUGCAGAAUUCAGUGAAUCAUCGAAUCUUUGAACGCACCUUGCGCCCCUUGGUAUUCCGAGGGGCAUGCCUGUUCGAGUGUCUUGAAUUCUUCGCCCCUGCCGGUUUUUGACCGGGAGGAAGGCGGACGUGGGGGCCUGCCGCGGAGACGCGGCUCCCCUCAAAUGCAUCGGUGGGGCUUCCGAGCGUUCCACGGGCGUUGUAUUGUCCUCGUCCGACACUGGGCCUCGUCACCCGCCUCGACCUGCCGUGAGAGCGGCGGUCAAAGCACUUUGAAAUCUGACCUCGAAUCAGGUAGGACUACCCGCUGAACUUAAGCAUAUCAAUAAGCGGAGGAAAAGAAACUAACAAGGAUUCCCCUAGUAACUGCGAGUGAAGCGGGAAGAGCUCAAAUUUGAAAUCUGGCGGUUCUGCCGUCCGAGUUGUAAUCUGGAGAAGCGCUUUCCGUGCUGGACCGUGU